UACAGAGGGGGCAAGCGUUGUUCGGAAUUACUGGGCGUAAAGGGCGCGUAGGUGGCGCCGUAAGUCAGGUGUGAAAUCUCGGGGCUCAACCCCGAAACUGCACUUGAUACUGCGGUGCUCGAGUACUGGAGAGGAGAUUGGAAUUUACGGUGUAGCAGUGAAAUGCGUAGAUAUCGUAAGGAAGACCAGUGGCGAAGGCGAAUCUCUGGACAGUUACUGACACUGAGGCACGAAGGCCAGGGGAGCAAACGGG
rnacentral:rRNA from 1 species